rnacentral:lncRNA from 1 species
UGCAGAGAGAAGGGCAGUCAACAGCUUGGAUUUUGGAAAGCACUCAUGGCAGUGUCCAUUGUGCCAACUCUUUCCACUGGGUAGCGGACAAUGUUUUCAGGGCACCUUCGGAAGAUGGUGGUUAUCAUGGCUGCCGCCUGAGAUAGGGAUGCGAUUCAGGCAGGCAAAGGGGAGGUUUUGCAUCACCACGUAGCCCCAUCUGUGCGCCUUUGCGCUCCAUGAAAGAACAGCUCCUUCCUGGUAGCCAGUCCUAGGUAAUACUGGACCCUUAACUCCCUAAUGGCAGACUAUUGUCCAUGAGGCUGAGGAAGGAGCACUUGGCUGUCUAAAAAUAUCUGCCCUACCUACUAUAAGCAGGGAAAUGGGCUUUGUGUUAGGCAGGACAGACAAAAGCUCAGAUUUCUUUGUUUCAAGGAGAAAAGAGCAUUUGUCUUCCUUGUGUUGACCAGUUGCUAUGGUUGUUAUAUGAUAUUUAAAAGUUACUAUGAUGAACACUCUAAAAAUAAAUGGUGCCGUUUUUCAGCUUAAUUUUAAAUAUAUCCAAGAGUAAACCCUUGAACCCCGCUGUUCACUCCUCUGUUGUAAAAGCAAGCUCUGAAAUGAUUUCCUGUUCACAUUUUUUCCCUUCUUGAAGCCUGUUACUUUUUGCCUUAAGGUCCACCUGCUCCCACGUGGAACUGAUGAACUGCUGAGAUGACUCUCAGAUGCUGUUCUGGGUUGCAGAGGUGUUGGAUUUGAGUUUGCCCCUCUGUUCAAAGUCCUUCUUAAAUGGGCUGAACAGGAACCUUGGGAUGGUGAAAGUGAAGUGGGGAAUGGAAGACAUGCGUCUUGAAAGGAGAAGAAGAAUAUAUUGAUGGUGCACUGUCUGGACACGAGGAUGAAGUUUUGAGAAGGUGCAAAAAUGUCUUAUAUUUAGGGGAUAAAAAAGAAGAAGAUGGAGCAAUGACAAAAUAAAUCUUCCAUUGCUUUUUUAAAAGUAAGGUUU